rnacentral:tRNA from 1 species
GCGGAUGUGGCGAAACUGGCAGACGCGCUGGUCUUAGGAACCAGUGCCUACGGCGUGGAGGUUCGAGUCCUCUCAUCCGCA